AUGAAAUCUAAAAUUCCUCGAAUUUCUGAUCCAUCGACUCCAUGGCUAGAGAUUUUAGUAAAAUUCGGCUUCAAAAAUGAGCCUUUUAUCCUUGGCGAGUGGAGCACUUCUGGCUGGACAGCCGUUAAAGAUUGGGUGCUUCCAAAUGGACAGCCAAAUAAGGAAUAUUUGAAAAAGUCCUAUGGAGAUUCGAAAGUUCCUAUUCUUUGCGGAGGAAAUCAGUACAAAACCACUACUUUGAAGGAAUUUCUGGAAGAAAUGGGCGAUCCAGAAGUUUACUUAAAGGAUUGGCAUUUUCAAAACGAGUAGGAAUUCGGAACCUCUUCAUACUCCUUGCAUCCUUUCUUUUCUCGAGAUUUUGUAAAUUGUGAGCCAUGGACUAGUGAGAAAUCGGAAAAUCCAUUUGGUGACGACUAUCGAUUCGUUUAUAUCGGAGCUUCUGGAUCCUGGACAAAACUUCAUUCCGACGUAGUUUCAUCGCAUAGCUGGUCAGCGAAUAUUUGCGGCAGAAAACAGUGGUUUAUGAUGCCCCCAGGCAGUGAAAAUCUGUUUCGGAGCAGCGUUACAGAGUCGGGGUUUGUGGAUGACAUUCGGGAGUAUGAACGGCUAUUCGAGCAGGCAAAAGUGAUAAAAUUCGUUCAAGAGCCCGGAGAAAUUGUGUUUGUCCCAUCUAAUUGGUACCAUCAGGCCCACAAUUUGGAAGACACAAUUUCCAUCAAUCAUAACUGGAUGAACAGCACGAAUCUUCAUCUAGUACAGGAGUUUUUGAGCCGGAGGGAGCUAGAUGUUCGUGAGGAGCUCCAGGAUUGUGUAGAUCUGUUUUCCGCCGAGGAAUUUGAAGAAAAAGUGGAUCUUGUGUUGUUCGCCGACGCUAGACUUAAUAAUUCAAAGUUUCGAAAGCUGUGUGAGCUUGUAAAAGAAUCUAGAAGUCAUGAAGUUGGGGAAUUAUUUGAAUGUGAAGCCCAUGGUUCAAAGAUCUGGCAAUGUAUCUCAUCACCUUCCUGUCACCCUCACAUUCUAUCCAUUUGCUCUUGCUCCACAACUUUUUGCUCCAAAUGCUCUGCCUUCAUUGAGCAGCUCGAAUUUUCUGUCGCUUCUCGUUUUUUAUAG